UACGGAGGGGGCUAGCGUUAUCCGGAAUUAUUGGGCGUAAAGGGCGCGUAGGCGGCCCGGUAAGUCAAAGGUGAAAUCCCUCGGCUCAACUGAGGAACUGCCUUUGAAACUGUCGGGCUUGAGGCCGGGAGGGGGUAGCGGAAUUCCCAGUGUAGCGGUGAAAUGCGCAGAUAUCAGGAAGAACACCGGUGGCGAAGGCGGCUCUCUGGGCCUUACCUGACGCUGAGGAGCGAAAGCGUGGGUAGCGAACAGG
rnacentral:rRNA from 1 species